CCUACGGGUGGCAGCAGUGAGGAAUAUUGGUCAAUGGCCGGAAGGCUGAACCAGCCAAGCCGCGUGAGGGAGGAAGGCUCAGAGCGUCGCAGACCUCUUUUGCCGGGGGACAAAAGGCCGGACUCGUCCGGUCCUGAGGGUACCCGGAGAAAAAGGAUCGGCUAACUCCGUGCCAGCAGCCGCGGUAAUACGGAGGAUGAGAGCGUUAUCCGGAUUUAUUGGGGUUAAAGGGUGCGCAGGGGGAUUUUUAAGUCAGCGGGAAAAUCGUGGGGCUAAACCCCAUCCAGCCGUUGAAACUGGGGAUCUAGAGUGUGCGAGAGGUAUGCGGAAUGCGUGGUGUAGCGGUGAAAUGCGUAGAUAUCACGAAGAACACCGAUGGCGAAGGCAGCAUACUGGUGCACAACUGACGCUGAGGCACGAAAGCGUGGGUAGCGAACAGGAUUAGAUACCCUAGUAGUC
rnacentral:rRNA from 1 species